GACGAACGCUGGCGGCGUGCUUAACACAUGCAAGUCGAACGGAAAGGCCCUGCUUUUGUGGGGUGCUCGAGUGGCGAACGGGUGAGUAACACGUGAGUAUCCUGCCCUUGACUUUGGGAUAACUUCAGGAAACUGGGGCUAAUACCGUAUCGGAGCUCCUGCUGCAUGGUGGGGGUUGGAUAGUUUCGGCGGUUGGGGAUGGAUUCGCGGCUUAUCAGCUUGUUGGUGGGGUAGUGGCUUACCAAGGCUUUGACGGGUAGCCGGCCUGAGAGGGUGACCGGCCACAUUGGGACUGAGAUACGGCCCAGACUCCUACGGGAGGCAGCAGUGGGGAAUAUUGCACAAUGGGCGGAAGCCUGAUGCAGCAACGCCGCGUGCGGGAUGACGGCCUUCGGGUUGUAAACCGCUUUCGCCUGUGACGAAGCGUGAGUGACGGUAAUGGGUAAAGAAGCACCGGCUAACUACGUG
rnacentral:rRNA from 1 species